rnacentral:lncRNA from 1 species
CUCACCCCAAGAUUCUGGAACAACCUACAAGUGCAAGACUGACACAGACCUUGGCAUCACAGAACUUGAAGUAUGGUACGGAGGACAGACAGACAAGCAAUUACAAUACAGCAUGAGAAAUGCUCUGAUAAGGGAAGUACUGUGUGUUGUGUUGCAGAGAAGUAUAAUUUAGGCGGAGAAGCUCUGGAAAGACAAUGGGAAUGGUGGAAAAUCAUACUUAAUUAUGAGAUAUGUUGAAACA